AUGUCUAGAUCACUGACAAUAGCACCAUUGAUCACCAUGAUCUCAUCGCUCUUGAUGAUUCCUAAAGAGAAAACAACAUAGGGUAUUUUCAAUUCCAAUCGUACUCACUAAUACAUCAAUGAGAUUCACAGCAGCCAAUAAGAUCAACCAUGAAAGGACUGUGUAUCUGAAUCUAGCAAAGAGGCAAUCGUCUAUUUAUAUCAUAAAAGAAUAACAGUGGCGGAUGAAUUAUAGAUAAAAGUAAUUCUAGCGUGGAGGAUCGAUAAUGACAAUGAAAGUACACCUGAGCCACGUGUAAACAAUAUAGUCCAUAAAGCUCCAACGCUAGCCUCGAACACUUCAUCCAGGGUUUUUAUGCUUGGUUAAGUCAUGUUCAUGCAACAUUGCUCAUCCAGCGUCGUCCUCUACUAACCAUUCUGCAUGGCGACGCUCUUGUCCUCGACUCUGCUAACGUAGCAGCAAAGCUCGUCCUGCCUAUCGGAAUUCUCAAUAAGUUCAGCCUCCACGGAGAAGCCCCACAUCUGGUCCAGGGUGUUCCUCUGGAGUUCUACUUGGUAGAGUAUCUUGGCGCAGACCUCGACUAUCUCGUGGGUAUGCAGCUGAAUAAAUA